rfam:Ovis aries breed Texel chromosome 10, whole genome shotgun sequence.
UCCCUAGUGGUCCAGUACUUAAGAUUCUGCAUUUCCAAUGCAGAGGCACAGGCUCGAUCCCUGUUCCAGGAA